GACGAACGCUGGCGGCGUGCUUAACACAUGCAAGUCGAACGGAAAGGCCCUGCUUUUGUGGGGUGCUCGAGUGGCGAACGGGUGAGUAACACGUGAGUAACCUGCCCUUGACUUUGGGAUAACUUCAGGAAACUGGGGCUAAUACCGGAUAGGAGCUCCUGCUGCAUGGUGGGGGUUGGAAAGUUUCGGCGGUUGGGGAUGGACUCGCGGCUUAUCAGCUUGUUGGUGGGGAAGUGGCUUACCAAGGCUUUGACGGGUAGCCGGUCUGAGAGGGUGACCGGCCACAUUGGGACUGAGAUACGGCCCAGACUCCUACGGGAGGCAGCAGUGGGGAAUAUUGCACAAUGGGCGGAAGCCUGAUGCAGCAACGCCGCGUGCGGGAUGACGGCCUUCGGGUUGUAAACCGCUUUCGCCUGUGACGAAGCGUGAGUGACGGUAAUGGGUAAAGAAGCACCGGCUAACUACGUG
rnacentral:rRNA from 1 species